ensembl:antisense Gm15585 predicted gene 15585
CACUUGCCCUGCACCCGAGAUACCUCCUCCAUUCAGGCCACACAAGAUCAGCACUAAUGAGCCUCCCAUCAGGGGCACCCCAGUUCUGAGAAGAAUGCAGGAGCCAAUGCAGAUGCGGAUGAGAAAAAAUCCCUAUGUGGGAGACUCCACCUCUGCCUUCCCCAUGGCUCAGGCUCUCCAGACUUCAGUCUACUUGGGAGAAAGACAGCACCUAUCGGCUAAAUGUGCUAAAGAAAUUCCAGCACCACAGCUGUAGCUACGGCAUAGGGCAGAGAAGCAUGCUCGUCCCCGGUAGGGCCCAGUAUAUUGGAACGGAGCAGCCAAGGCCCCAGAAAACCAAGGCCCCAAAGAGCCUCAAGAUGAGCUAAUAGGAAUAGAGAUGGGGAAGGCCACAUGAGAAGAAGCCACAGAAGAGAACACUCAGAAGUACAAUGGACUGUGUCAAGCACUUCACCCACCUGUGCCAGAUGUUGAAGGCUGGAAGGAGGCCAAGGCUGUGCCCCAACCCAGUGACAAGCAAGAUGGCACAGACUGCCUACCUGUUCAUCAAGCAGUGUGCCCUGCCUUAGGCCUCAAAAAUAAGGAAUGAGGCUUGCUGCCAGGUAGCACAGGAUGUGGACUGGGAAGCCAUUGGACCAAGCUUCAGUAACAACCACAGAGUCGUUUAACC